AGCGAACGCUGGCGGUAGGCCUAACACAUGCAAGUCGAACGGCAGCACAGUAAGAGCUUGCUCUUACGGGUGGCGAGUGGCGGACGGGUGAGGAAUACAUCGGAAUCUACUUUUUCGUGGGGGAUAACGUAGGGAAACUUACGCUAAUACCGCAUACGACCUACGGGUGAAGGCAGGGGAUCUUCGGACCUUGCGCGAUUGAAUGAGCCGAUGUCGGAUUAGCUAGUUGGCGGGGUAAAGGCCCACCAAGGCGACGAUCCGUAGCUGGUCUGAGAGGAUGAUCAGCCACACUGGAACUGAGACACGGUCCAGACUCCUACGGGAGGCAGCAGUGGGGAAUAUUGGACAAUGGGCGCAAGCCUGAUCCAGCCAUACCGCGUGGGUGAAGAAGGCCUUCGGGUUGUAAAGCCCUUUUGUUGGGAAAGAAAGGCAGCAGGUUAAUACCCCGCUGUUCUGACGGUACCCAAAGAAUAAGCACCGGCUAACUUCGUG
rnacentral:rRNA from 1 species